AACAAACAAAAAUAACCAAUAAGAAAAAAAUAUCAAAACAAAAUGAAACGAGUCUCCCUGCUCCCUCAAAAGGUCACGGGUUUAUUUUGUAUUGGAAAAUUCCUCCUGGGCAUAGGGUCAGCCCUGGAGUAUGGUUGAUGAAGUCAGUGACACCCUGUUGGAGAAAACGGAUGUAUUUCCCUCACUAGCUGGUAUAAAUUGCAAAUAGCUCCUUGGUUGAAGUUGGUACCCUAUGUCUACUUGCCCCUUGCAGUGCUGAAUUCCCAUCUGGCUUGAGCCUGUGUAUGCCAUGUGCCUACUCUACUGUAGUCUCUGUGGGUUCAUAUUGCAUCAGUCCUGAUAUAUCAGGAAGACACUAUUUCCUUGGAACAUCACCUCUAGCAAUCUUUUUGCCUACUUUCUCAUAUAGAUCUCUGAGCCUUGAAGUGAGGGGUUUCAGGAAAACAUCCCAUUUAGGACUGAUAGUCCACUCUCUAAGACUAUCUUUUAUUUAGAAUGAUAUUCUAAGUGUCUUAUGUUUUGGCAAAUAUUAUUCACUGUCAGUAUUCAGAUGUGUCCCUAAACCACUUGACUUUUUAUAAGGUGAUUUCAUUUUUUUUUAUAAAACAGAACAUGACAACAAAUGGGAAGAUAUCAACUUGUUUUCCCUUGGAUAUCCAAUAUCCAAUCAUCGUUAAACAUUGCCGAGUAUAAUCUGGGCACUCUUGUCUUGCUGUUUAAAUUUCUUAUCCUAGUGUUGCCUAACACUUAUUCUCCAUGCAGCCCAGAUACCCACUUCGGACUGAUCUGGGAGUUCUUCCAUCCUUGCACAGAGGUAAAACGGACUUCUCUUUUUAGAGAACACUCUCUAAGACCUGUUCACCUCAGCUUUCUUUGGUUUGUUUACAGAGAAAUAUUCUACAUAGUUCUCCAGGAACAAAGAAUACCCAGAAUUCCCUGGAGUUAACUUAUUUAUUUCCCUGAUUAAUUAGUACACAUAUUUUGCUUGACAUUUAAUAAAAUAAUUGUGCAUUUCAUUAUGGACAAAUUAAUAUUUUUAAUACAUAGAGUUUGUCCAUAUGGAAUUUAAACGGGCUGUCUGACAAAACCAAGUGCAAUCUAGUCCCCAAAUGCCAAAUCCUGAUUAGUUCUGUUGCCUGUUUUGUAAAUAAAGUUUCUUUGACACCUAGGCAUACAUAUUCAUUUGCAUCCUGUCAAAUGAUCUUUCCACUACAGUGGUAGGUUUGAGUAGCUUUGACAGAGAUUCCAUGUCCAACAAAGCCCAAAACAGUCAUGGUCUAUCUUCCUUUAAAAAUAUUGAAUGUAAGUUUUCCAGUGCCCAAAGAAUUAGCCAAGAUCUCAUGGACAGACACUUCAGACUGACCACAAAGCCCUAUAAAAUAGCUGUGCGUUCUGGGGGAAGAUGAGCUAUAAGUCCACAAAGACAAAUUGAACUCUUUUCUGUCUUUGUAGCGUGUAUGGCCAUAAGUUUAAACUCCAAGGCCCAGGAUAAUCAGCAAGGUGGGUUGAAUAAAAUUACCUUUGCUGGGUCAUACUUAAGAAUCUAUUGAAGUAGCACAAAUACAGUACCUAGAUGCCCUUCUACAAGGGAUUUCCCAGGCUUGAAUUCAUUCUCUUGAAAGAUGGGUUCCUUGUAGUCUAGGUUUAUGCAUUUCUGCCAGCUGAGAUAGAAGGAAAUCAUGUUAUCGUCCCUGUAUUAAUUCAACUUCUCAGAAAUACACCUCCCCUAUACCCAAUUGGCCAUGCUCACCCUGAGGCCUCUUGUUGCCCCACCAGGGUUCUGUGACUUACAGAGGGUUAUUUUCUAUCAAAAGGGAAUAAAAAGAAAUGCAACAAAAAAGUGUUCCUAGCUCUGUUCUCUCCUUUAUUUGACUUCAUCAUUUGGUUUUUAGCUCAUCUUUGCUUCUAUUUCAGCUUGAUAUAGAAGUUUUAAAGGGCAAGCCCUGGAACAUUCAUGGACAGAUUUUAUAGGGCCCAGUAUAAUGGUGAACAUUUAAGAAGGUGAAAGAUACUUUUAUGCAAUGUCUGUAGCAGCAGCCAUAGUUUAAUAUGUUUCUGGGGAAUAUUUGGAAUUCUAUGACAGUCUCCAAGAUUUUUAAAUGCCCAUUUUCCUUGAUAAGUUUUUUUUUUAAUUUUUCUUAAAGACAACACAUAGCUGUGCACACACACUCAGAGUUGUGAGCAAUUCCUGCUUGCUGGCUAGGUCUGUUUCCUCUGCAUUAAGAUAAUGGAUGGAAAUGCCAACAAGGCUUUCAUUAUUAUAGAUGACCUUGAAUCUGCAGAGGAAAAAUAGCCAUAAAGCACUCGCCAACUUUAGUGUUUCAUUAUAAUUAAAAACUACUAAUGACAGACCUCAUCACUGGUCAAAGUACACUGGGGACCUGUAUUAUGGUAGUUCAGAAUCACAACACUGGAAGAAUUUGGGGUCACCUUCAGGUGAUGGGAGAGAUGUGUAAAAUGAAUGAUGAUU
rnacentral:sRNA from 1 species